UAAAGUCUUGAACUGGAAUCGAC
rnacentral:piRNA from 1 species